CUCUCUCUGCCCCAUCCCCACUCAUGCUCUGUCUCUCUCUGUCUUAAAAAUAAAUAAAACAUUAAAAAAAAUUUAAAAAAGGAAAAGGUGUCCAGUGAAAUGUCUCACUCCCAGCCUUGUUCCAAUCCUCUUACUUCUUACUUUCGUCCCUGAAAGUCACCAUUGUCUAUAGUUUCUUAUACAGUUUCUUAUAAGAAAUAAUAGUUUCUUAUUAUUUCAGGUUUUCUUUAUGAAUCAACAAGCAAAUAUGAAUGCAGCACAUUAGACCCAUCAGGGUAAGUACACGGCAUUUAAGAACAACUAUGAGGUGGACAAAUAUAAUGUCAACUGGAUCCUCUUUAUCUGGCUGUGGUAGGCAGCUUCCAAGACGCUCCCAAUGAUCCCACGUCCCGGUAUUCAUGUCCUCAUGCACUCCCCUCCCCUGAGUGUGGCCGCACCGAGUGACUUGCUUCUAGUGAAUGGAGUAGGGCAAAAGGGAUGGGGUGUCACUUGCGAGUUCAGGUGACCUCUGCUUGUUGGCAUGCAUGCUCUUACUCUUCAUGCCUGCUUGCUUGGAUGGAAAAAGCUGCCAGGUUGUGAGCUGCUGUACGGAGAAAUCCCCAUGGCAGGGAGCUGAGGGGAACGUGCUGCCAACAGCCAAGGAAGAACUAAGGUCCUCAGCCCAGCCACCCAGGAAGAACUGAAUCUUGCCAGCAACCACAUGAGUGAACUUGGAAGUGGGUCUUUUCCCAGGUGCAUUUGGAUGGGACCUGAACGUAAAAGAAAGAGAAAGCGUGAAUCUCUGGGGAACCAAGCAGGGGUCAGGGAACACAUUCUCUAGUUGUUCUGAAGAAUUCUCUUUUGUGACAUCUGGGACCAGAGGCCUUCCAGUCUGGUGUAAGAACAUAAAAAAAUAAAGUUUGCAAUCUUGUUCUGUGA